CCUACGGGCGGCAGCAGUGGGGAAUAUUGGACAAUGGGCGAAAGCCUGAUCCAGCCAUGCCGCGUGUGUGAAGAAGGCCUUCGGGUUGUAAAGCACUUUCAGUGGGGAAGAAAGCCUUGGGGCUAAUACCCUCGAGGAAGGACAUCACCCACAGAAAAAGCACCGGCUAACUCCGUGCCAGCAGCCGCGGUAAUACGGAGGGUGCGAGCGUUAAUCGGAAUUACUGGGCGUAAAGCGCGCGUAGGCGGUCUGAUAAGCCGGUUGUGAAAGCCCCGGGCUCAACCUGGGAACGGCAUCCGGAACUGUCAGGCUAGAGUGCAGGAGAGGAAGGUAGAAUUCCCGGUGUAGCGGUGAAAUGCGUAGAGAUCGGGAGGAAUACCAGUGGCGAAGGCGGCCUUCUGGACUGACACUGACGCUGAGGUGCGAAAGCGUGGGUAGCAAACAGGAUUAGAUACCCCUGUAGUC
rnacentral:rRNA from 1 species